rnacentral:lncRNA from 1 species
CUUCUUUUCAUGCCCAAGAAUUUGACCACGACUUGCCCACUGUUUGACCCACAUGCAUGAUUCUUAUCUACUGAGUUAAUUAUGAUUUUGCUUGAUAGAUUUCAUCUCCACUGUUUUAUUUCUUUUAGUUUAAAUGAUUAUGAUUAAUGGAGUUAACCCUAUCUUGAUUUUGGUAAAUUUGAUUAAGUCUAAAUUUAAGAGGACACUUAAUACAAUUGCAUGCUU